rnacentral:rRNA from 1 species
UACGUAGGGGGCUAGCGUUGUCCGGAAUCAUUGGGCGUAAAGCGCGUGUAGGCGGUCCGGUAAGUCCGCUGUGAAAGUCGGGGGCUCAACCCUCGAAUGCCGGUGGAUACUGUCGGGCUAGAGUGCGGAAGAGGCGAGUGGAAUUCCUGGUGUAGCGGUGAAAUGCGCAGAUAUCAGGAGGAACACCGGUGGCGAAGGCGGGUCUCUGGGCAACAACUGACGCUGGAGGAAGCGAAAGGCGUAGGGGAGCGAACAGG